AUGAGACAGCGGCGGGCACUUUGUCUCCCGCUGAUUGCCGUGGUGAUCCCGGGGAUUCUGGCCGCGUUAGUGGAGCAGUCGCCUUCUUCCCUGUCAAUCGGGCAGGGAGAGUCUGCCAGCGUGUCGUGUACGCUGCUGAAUACGGACUAUCAAUUUAUGUAUUGGUACAGACAGCGAUCGGACCGGGCAAUAGAUUGCCUCUUCUAUUCAGCUGGGCAAGGUUCGGUGACGAACUACACAUCCGAUUCCUAUACGGCGACAAGACCCAACAACGCUCUGUUUAAACUGGAACUGGGACGGGCAUCGGCCUCCCACUCCGCCGUCUACUACUGCGCUUGUAGUAGCGCACAGAAGUUGAGAUAA